UACAGAGGGUGCAAGCGUUAAUCGGAAUUACUGGGCGUAAAGCGUGCGUAGGUGGUUUACUAAGUCAGGUGUGAAAUCCCCGGGCUCAACCUGGGAACUGCGCUUGAUACUGGUAAACUAGAGUUUAGUAGAGGGAAGUGGAAUUCCACGUGUAGCGGUGAAAUGCGUAGAUAUGUGGAGGAACACCAGUGGCGAAGGCAGGUCUCUGGGCCAUUACUGACACUGAGGAGCGAAAGCGUGGGGAGCGAACAGG
rnacentral:rRNA from 1 species